rnacentral:rRNA from 1 species
GAUGAACGCUGGCGGCGUGCUUAACACAUGCAAGUCGAACGAGAAAUGUAGACGGAAACCUUCGGGCGGAAGCCUUCAUUUCGAGUGGCGGACGGGUGAGUAACGCGUGGGUAACCUGCCUCAUACAGGGGGAUAACAGUUGGAAACGACUGUUAAUACCGCAUAAGACCACAGCAUCGCAUGAUGCGGGGGUAAAAACUCCGGUGGUAUGAGAUGGACCCGCGUUCGAUUAGCCAGUUGGCGGGGUAACGGCCCACCAAAGCGACGAUCGAUAGCCGAUCUGAGAGGAUGACCGGCCACAUUGGGACUGAGACACGGCCCAAACUCCUACGGGAGGCAGCAGUGGGGAAUAUUGCACAAUGGGGGAAACCCUGAUGCAGCGACGCCGCGUGAGUGAAGAAGUACUUCGGUAUGAAAAGCUCUAUCAGCAGGGAAGAAAAUGACGGUACCUGAGUAAGAAGCCCCGGCUAACUACGUG